UUUAAAACAAGGAAGGACAAGGCACAACCUUCAAAGACAUCUCCCAAUUCUUCCAGAAAGAAUUUGGAAAGAAAAGCAAAGCAAUAGCAGCUCAGGCACUGAGGUGUGAAUAUGACAAUAGAAACGGUUUUAAGGAUGUGGACUUUUACUGUGUGCAAUGAUCUAUAGCUGAAGCACAGAACAGGCUGCUCUGGACUCCACACAGACACUAACAACCGCUAACAGCCAAAGCUUUCAGAGACAAUUCAAGAACUUCUCCUUAUUUAGUGCUAAAAUAUCUGAGCUGCUAUCAAUUCUUCACACGAGAAAUCUUGUAUUAGCUUAACAAUUGCAUGGAAGAAGGUUCUGGAUUGUGGAGUAGCCAAUCAUCUGCAGUGGUCUCCAACUUUGGCUAUGUACCAGGCUUUCCUAUAACUUAAAAAAAAAUUGAAUGUAGUACUGUGUGGUCCCUCCCUGGAAUUAAGAAAUAGAAUUUCCUACGUUUGAGUCCAAAAACCACUGGGCUGAAGUUUUUAAAAGGCAGACAUCAGGCAAAGAAAAGGGAUUGGCUUGGUGCCAGGAAAAUUAAAUCACAUCCACGAGACACCUCUUCUAAAAUUAGAUGGGUUCCUUAAACUAGAGGUGAAGAGUAGAGUUUCUGAAGACUUUCCAUGUGGUUGAUGCCAGGACACUAUUCUGAAACAAUAAUUACAGAUAAGCAUCAGAAACUGAGAAAAGAUAACUGCCAGCCCGAAGUGGAAAGAAGAUCCCUGUCUUAAUUACUCUGCUCAGAUGCUAGUGCUUUAAUAGCAGAAAGAUGAAGAAAUGUGACUGAGUAAAGCUACCCGUGGUCAUGAGGCCAGAAGAAGGCAUGAGAUCUCCUAGAACUGGAGUUCCAGAUGGUUUGGGAGCCACCAUGUUGGUGCUGUGAACUGAACAGAGGUCCUCCAGUGAACAGGGAGUGCUCUUAACUACUAGAGCUGUCUCUCCAACCUGAAGCCCUGCCUCUUCAGAGCCCAUUCAGCUAGAAAGCAACAAUAGAAUUCAUGGGUGACAUUAGCAGCCAUAUGAUUCAAUCACUGCUCACUAAACCACCAAGUGUACACCACUCAACUUUGGGGGACUUGCCAUAGCCAAACCGUAAGAUCAACUUGAACAAUUGAGCUUCUGUCUACUUCUAUCUAGACUAUACCUAAUUGGCUUUGUCACCUGCCAGGAGGCAAGAACUCAAGCUCCUCUGUCCCCUUGAUCUUCUUAUCUCCAUGUACUCUGCUCAUCUCCCCUGACACAGUGUCCCAGGACCUCUUGAACUUGUAAGUGUGAGCCCAGAUUCAAAAUUUUUCCUAUCUCUUGGAUUAAAUCAAAGUUGCAUUUGCAAUUAGUAGUGCA